rnacentral:rRNA from 1 species
GCAAGUCGAGGGGUAACAUUGGAGCUUGCUUCACAUGACGACCGGCGCACGGGUGCGUAACGCGUAUACAAUCUACCUUACACUGAGGGAUAGCCUUAGGACACGUAGAUUAUUACCUCAUAGUAUUGUUUGUUCGCAUGAUUAGAUAAUUAAAGGUUACGGUGUAAGAUGAGUAUGCGUCCUAUUAGUUAGUUGGUAAGGUAACGGCUUACCAAGGCAACGAUAGGUAGGGGUCCUGAGAGGGAGAUC